UAGGGAAUAUUGGACAAUGGGCGCAAGCCUGAUCCAGCCAUGCCGCGUGUGUGAAGAAGGCCUUCGGGUUGUAAAGCACUUUUGUCCGGAAAGAAAAGCGCUGGGUUAAUACCCUGGUGUCCUGACGGUACCGGAAGAAUAAGCACCGGCUAACUUCGUGCCAGCAGCCGCGGUAAUACGAAGGGUGCAAGCGUUACUCGGAAUUACUGGGCGUAAAGCGUGCGUAGGUGGUUUGUUAAGUCUGAUGUGAAAGCCCUGGGCUCAACCUGGGAAUGGCAUUGGAUACUGGCAGGCUAGAGUGCGGUAGAGGGUAGUGGAAUUCCCGGUGUAGCAGUGAAAUGCGUAGAGAUCGGGAGGAACAUCUGUGGCGAAGGCGACUACCUGGACCAGCACUGACACUGAGGCACGAAAGCGUGGGGAGCAAACA
rnacentral:rRNA from 1 species